rnacentral:rRNA from 1 species
UACGGGGGGAGCAAGCGUUGUUCGGAUUUACUGGGCGUAAAGGGCGCGUAGGCGGCGCAACAAGUCACUUGUGAAAUCUCCGGGCUUAACCCGGAGCGGUCAAGUGAUACUGUCGUGCUAGAGUGCGGAAGGGGCUACUGGAAUUCUCGGUGUAGCGGUGAAAUGCGUAGAUAUCGAGAGGAACACCCUGCGGCGAAGGCGGGUUGCUGGGCCGACACUGACGCUGAUGCGCGAAAGCGUGGGGAGCGAACAGG